UCCUCCCUCUUUAUCCCUAUCCCUCAAAUUGCUCCACUUUCCCUUUCAUUUUGUUCUCUCACUCUCUGCUGAUGUCCUCCUAUUUCAUUUUCUCUCUCUUCAGAUUCUCCUAUUUUCCAACUUUAUUUUGCUCAAUUUCUAUACAUAUCAAUGCUUUUCUUAUCAAUUUUUUUUUUUGGUGUAGGAAUUGAGCUUAAAGUUUGCAUCUUGGAUGGAGUGGUUGUGGUUAUCUACUGGUGCUCUUUCUAAAUUGUGCUCGAUCUUCUCGAUCAUCUCUGGCAAGUUAAUUUAGAUAUUGAACAAGAGAGCGGUUGAGGCUUCAGAUGAGCAGCGUCUAAUGCCUGACAUCAGGACUGGAGACAUUGUGCAAAUCAAAUUGUUUGGUUUAGUAGUGGAUGUGGUUCCUCUAUUUUGCUGAUGUUGAUGGUAAUGGAACAUCAUCACAGCCGCAAUGCAUAUGAAUGGAAUGGAGGAGGAGUGGAGGAUCAUCUGUACAAGGGCUUUGAAUAUUUUGACCAAGACAAGAGAUGUUAGAAUUAACUAUGAGGAAUUCGUAGCUAUGAUGAAGAAAGGCAACCCUGAUUUGUCUUAAACAGACGGAGGAGAUGAUUCAUAGGACAGUAACUUUAUGAAGACUAUCGUGUAAAUCUUUUCUACACCAGCCUGGAUCGAUUGCAGGGAUUUUGUCAAUAUCCGAUGCCUUGAAAUAGAGUGGAUCAAAAAGAAAGACACGCUCAAAGAACGUGCUCAGUCUGUAAGAAUUGAAAAGAGGAAAGAGCCUUAGCCAAGUAGGGGAGAAGUUUUUUUUUUUUCCCUGCAUUUUUAAAUGUAGUCUGCUGGGCUAGCUUGACAAGCUAAAGUGGGAGAAAAACCAUCUCUCGAAAGGGGAAUCAUCAGCUAAGAGAAUGGAUAUUGUGUGGGGAGAAACAGCUGGAGAGCAUGGCUGGCUUUGGUUGCUUUGCUAUAUACUAUUCAAUUUGCAGGUUUUGGAGGUUAUUUUCUUUUCUGGCUGAGGGGUGAUCGUGAAGAGGAGCUAGGGAUGGGAAGAUAGCGGAACAAUUAGUCAGUAUCUAAUAACUGUCACAAGUGACUAUUACAAUGUUAUGGCCGGAGAAGUGAAGUAUGAAGGAAUCUAUGAUAAUGACCGCCCAACUCUCCGCCAGGUCGAUCCAAGAGGUCCGUGGACAAGGAUCAAUUGCAAUACACUGAGAUCCUUAGGAUGCGUGAUCUUCCUUUCUCUGUAACCAGCGUAGACCUACUGAAAUUCUUUGGGGAUUUUAAGUUGGGCAGAGGAUAAAAUCCACGUAGAAAGCCAAACAAAUGGGAAGGCUAUUGUAGAGGCAUAUGUUAAAUGUUUUUCAGGAAUAUAGGUAUCGAAAAGCUCAAACUCCUCCCUCAUUUCGAUCACAAGAUCGAAGAUGGGCUUCCAUGGCAGAAGCUCAUGGGUCUUCUCUCAGUCUCUCUCCUCUACGUUCUUCUCCUCUUCUCUCAAUUUCAUACCUUUUACCCUCAUGGUGUUGCUCCUCGAGAUUUCCAACUGGGGUUCACAAAUGGCUACUAAGCUAGAAAACAAUGCUAUUCCAAACUCUACAUUUUCCUCUCGAUCUCCCUUUUGGUCAAGUUCAUGCAUCUGUUGAUUCUGAAAUUGAUCCAAACUCUUACUUGCUUGAGAAGUUCAAGCUUUAUGAAACUCAAGCGAGGUUUUAUCUUAUCGGAAUACGGAAGUGCUCCAAAUAUUGAAAAUUGACCGAUGCGAGCCAUCAGAAUUGAACAUCAGUGAAGAUCUAGUGGUAAUAUUCACCACAGGAGGUGAAGAACCUGUUGCAGCAAAUUGCAGAGGGGCAUCAGGCUUCUGAAGGGUUGAAUUUUGUUGCUUAUUCCAAGACAGUUUGAGAAACUAUGUUGUCCAGUACAGUUUGUCUCUCAGUCUAAAGGGAACUAUGUGCAUCUCUGCAUGCAGAAAUUCAGCAGCCAUGUGGUUGAAACUUCGAGCAUUUUUCAACCAGUGUACGAGGAUAGUCACCAAUUCAAGGUCUGCUUCUAAUAACAUCCAAGAGUUUACAGGGUUAGUCACCAAGUAUUCUCAUCCUCUUAAGUGUGGGUGUGCAGCGCACUGGGCUAGGGAUUGCCCGUCGAGUGGUGGUGGAAGGUAUCCUUCACAAUCUGAAUUUGGUAGAUUUGGUCUGCAGGGAGAUCGUGAUUAUGACUGCUGGGGGGUGCUAUGGCAGUAGAGAUUGUUUGGAGAACAGAAAUGGGUAUCCGCCUGCUAGUGAUCAUUCUGGAAGCGAUAGAUAUAUGGAUCGAUGCCCCUUAAAUAUGGCCGGGAUAGAGAUAUGGAGGCGUUAAGAGGUGGUGAUAAGUAUGCUGCUAGUGGACGAACUCCCUAUGACAGAGAAAGCUUUAGAUACCAGGCUCACCCUUAUGAUGCUCUGGGAGAAGCAAACAGAGUUGAUAUCGCUGUUGGUUUUGCUCCUCUAAUGUUGUGCAAACUGUUGUUUUCUAAGUAGAUGCAGAAAUGUUGGAUAUCGUCUCCUUUGCGUGUUCGUAUUCUGUCCAGACAAGUAGUGUGCCCAGAAAAAAUUUAAGAGUAUGGAUAACUGUGGUGACCUUAUUAGUUGACCUGUAGGAGUAUUUAUUGGGAGGAAAUUAUUUGAAUAUAUGGACUAUUAUACUCCGUAUGUAUGUUUUAGUUGAAUGUAAGGAUGGACAAGAUGCACAUAGAUCAAUUUGAUUUCUUUUGACGGGCAUUGAUUAUUA